rnacentral:rRNA from 1 species
AUUGAACGCUGGCGGCAGGCCUAACACAUGCAAGUCGAGCGGAUGAAGGGAGCUUGCUCCUGGAUUCAGCGGCGGACGGGUGAGUAAUGCCUAGGAAUCUGCCUGGUAGUGGGGGAUAACGUCCGGAAACGGGCGCUAAUACCGCAUACGUCCUGAGGGAGAAAGUGGGGGAUCUUCGGACCUCACGCUAUCAGAUGAGCCUAGGUCGGAUUAGCUAGUUGGUGGGGUAAAGGCCUACCAAGGCGACGAUCCGUAACUGGUCUGAGAGGAUGAUCAGUCACACUGGAGCUGAGACUCGGUCCAGACUCCUACGGGAGGCAGCAGUGGGGAAUAUUGGACAAUGGGCGAAAGCCUGAUCCAGCCAUGCCGCGUGUGUGAAGAAGGUCUUCGGAUUGUAAAGCACUUUAAGUUGGGAGGAAGGGCAGUAAGUUAAUACCUUGCUGUUUUGACGUUACCAACAGAAUAAGCACCGGCUAACUUCGUG